rnacentral:rRNA from 1 species
UACGUAGGGGGCAAGCGUUGUCCGGAUUCAUUGGGCGUAAAGAGCGUGUAGGCGGCCAGGUAGGUCGGUUGUGAAACUGGAGGCUACAACCUUCAGAGGUCGACCGAAACCAUCUGGCUAGAGUCCGGGAGAGGAGAGUGGAAUUCCUGGUGUAGCGGUGAAUGCGCAGAUAUACAGGAAGAACACCCGUGGCGAAAGCGGCUCUCUGGAACGGUACUGACGCUGAGACGCGAAAGCGUGGGGAGCGAAGCAGG